GAAUUUUUCAAAAGGUUGAGGGUUUUAGGGUUUCACCGAUUGAAUUAGGAGGCAUUAACAGAAGCAUUACAAAUGAAUCUGGGCUGGCUGCUGCUGGCUUCUGCCUUCGGCAUGUAAUACUUUGUUACUAUGCUCUACCUUGCUUCAUCUUGCUUGAAUACUAGUUUCACGUUCCAACAAGGGGAACUGGGGAAGGGGAUGCUAACCGUGAUUUCACAUUCUUCUUCAUUUCAUUCAAUUUCCCCACUACCAUCGACUUUCACUAAUAAACUAGUUAAAAUCCGCGCUUUCUUUCUCAGGCGGAGCAUACUUUUAAUAACAACAGACACCGAGGAGACAUGGAAAGCGUUGGAAUCUGUUUUCCCUUAACACCUGUUUGCUUCAUCUCUAGGUCAUUUGAAAUUUGGAUUUAACAGAGAAGAAGGUGGACAUUGUAUACCGUGAAUGAGCUUUAAUGGAUGGGAUCUCUAGCUUAUUUGAAAUUUGGAUUUAACAGAGAAGAAGACGGACAUUGUGUACCGUGAAUGAGCUUUAAUGGAUGGGGUGGCUCCAAACACAAGAUGGAGAAGAACCAAUUUGGGUUUUGUAUUCUGGUGGAAGUUCAGCCAUUCCUCACAAUGCAAGCAUGGAGAUGGAGUUUGGGUUGAUCGCAUCCCUGCUUGGAUUCAAUAUGCCUGCCACCGUGGACCCAGCAAGGUUCGCAGCAUCAUAUGAAUUAUGAUGGUGUCUACUGGGAUCCACUACCAUCAGAAUUCAGAAAGGUUUAUUAUCGAGGGGAUGAAGGUGAGGAGGCAGACAUGAACAUUAAAGCAAGUUGUGGUUGGGCAGGAGAACUUUGAAGAACGAACUGGGUUCCGUGAAUCAUGACAAUGCUGUUGGUCAAGAGCACAAGAGUGUGACCGAGGGUCAUCGGAAGACUGACAUUUUUUGCUCUCUGUACAUAUAAUAUGUGGUCUGUGCCUGUGCCUGUGCCUGUGAAUAAAUAUUAAUAAUCGGAUUUCUUUGUAUCAGUGUUAAACGCUCUGAAGAAGUUUGUACGACUUGCAGAUGCAGAUGAAGUUGCAGACUAGAAUGCAUAUAUACAUGAAAAUAAACAAAUUUCCAUAUA